UGUGGCGCUCAUAUCAGUAGUGGAUAUACCUAUCCCCAUACCGAACAUAGAAGUCAAGCAUUAUUGAGCCAAAGGUAGCCGUUAAACGUGAGAAUAGGUUGUGCCACGC
rnacentral:rRNA from 1 species